UAUGUUUAUAAGUGGAAUGGUGCAGUAUUCUAGUCAGUCUUCCGCUCCUGAAGGCGGGCCUAAAAAUCCGCCAAAGGGCACAUCGAUGAAGUUCCUUGUGUUGGCUUGAGGCGCCCAGCCUUGGGUCAGUGCUGGGAGUUAAGGUUUUAGGGCGAUCCACAAAGGCAUGUGGGCGUUGACCCUAUUACCGCGGAGGCCCAUCUCUGUCGUGGUAACUAAGCCUAGGGAUCAUUAUGGAAUGGGGUAUGAACCUGCAUAGUAAGAAAGGGAAAACUUACUUGUAGCGUAGCCUGCCUUGAGUGGUGUUUGAGGGGAUUAGAGCACAAGUUGCAAACUGGUAGGCCACUAGCUUGUAAUUUUCAUCUCUAUGAAAUCAUCACUGCAAAAGAGGCUAGGGGGCGCCAAAAAGGCUGCUGAGGAAAUCUCCUAGACUGUUCUAUUGACGUUUGAAAGGGAUUAUAGUGUGGACUAAGUGGUAAUCCAGUCUAACUUUUGGUGACAAAGUUAAGAUAGGUUUAAAGGGGAACCGCCCUUAUGGCAACAUGGGGUACUUAUUUGGGAAAACCUACUGGACCUAAGCCGCAGUUUUUACCUUUUGAAUGACCAUUCCAUUCCUACAUAAA
rnacentral:sRNA from 1 species